AUGACUGCUCCUGGGACUGACUGCAUCCUGUAAUCAUACGACAUUUGGAUUAGAGAGGACUUUCCUCCAUCUUAACCUCAUGCCAAAAAGAACGAGAAAUUUUGAAAGUACAAAUGAGGAGCACGUUUUAGUAGAUGAGGAAUAAAGCUCAGAGAGGUUAAGUAAUUUGUUAACCAAGGUCUCAUAAUCAGUAAAACCAGGACCGAGGAUUCAAACCUGGACUGACUUUCAAGCCUCUGGUACCUUGCCCGCAGAAAUGCAUAAGGAAACGGAGGCAAAAGAAAAAUGGCAUGACAGCCAUAGAAAAGAAUGAAAUAAUGCCAUCUACAGCAACAUGGAUGGACCUAGAGAUU